ensembl:lncRNA
GGGGGUCAGGUAGAGAGUUAGGUCAGGUAGGGAGGUCAGGUAGAGAGUUAGGUCAGGUAGGGAGUUAGGUCAGGUAGAGAGUUAGGACAGGUAGAGAGUUAUGUCAGGUAGGGAGGUCAGGUAGAGAGUUAGGUCAGGUAGAGAGGUCAAGUAGAGAGUUAGGUCAGGUAGGGGGGUCAGGUAGAGAGUUAGGUCAGGUAGGGAGGUCAGGUAGAGAGGUCAGGUAGAGAGUUAGGACAGGUAGGGGGUCAGGUAGGGAGGUCAGGUAGAGAGUUAGGUCAGGUAGAGAGGUCAAGUAGAGAGUUAGGUCAGGUAGGGGGUCAGGUAGAGAGUUAGGUCAGGUAGGGAGGUCAGGUAGAGAGGUCAGGUAGAGAGGUCAGGUAGAGAGUUAGGUCAGGUAGGGAGGUCAGGUAGAGAGUUAGGACAGGUAGGGAGUUAGGUCAUUUAGGGGGGUCAGGUAGAGUGUUAGGACAGGUAGAGAGUUAGGUCAGGUAGGGAGGUCAGGUCGAGAGUUAGGUCAGGUAGGGAGGUCAGGUAGAGAGUUGGGACAGGUAGGGAGUUAGGUCAGGUAGGGGGGUUAGGUAGAGAGUUAGGACAGGUAGAGAGUUAGGUCAGGUAGGGAGGUCAGGUAGAUAGUUAGGUCAGGUAGGGAGGUCAGGUAGGGGGGUCAGGUAGAGAGUUAGGUCAGGUAGGGAGGUCAGGUAGAGAGGGCAGGUAGAGAGUUAGGUCAGGUAGAGAGUUAGGACAGGUAUAGAGUUAGGUGAGGUAGAGAGUUAGGUCAGGUAGAGAGUUAGGUCAGGUAGGGAGGUCAGGUAGAGAGUUAGGUCAGGUAGAGAGGUCAGGUAGAGAGUUAGGUCAGGUAGAGAGGCCUACGUCACCAUAGAGAAGAGCCGUCCGUCCAUCUGUCCACCAGAGAGACCGCUGAAUGCUAAAACAAACUGUCACAUAUCCACAACAUCCACACCUAUGAACUUGGACACAUAAUGAUUGUGGUUCCUUUGAAUGGCUAUAGAUCAAUACAAACAUAUGCUAUAGAUGCUAUAUGCUAUAGAUCAAUACAAACAUAUGCUAUAGAUGUUAUACGCUAUAGAUCAAUACAAAC